UGGGGAAUCUUCCGCAAUGGACGAAAGUCUGACGGAGCAACGCCGCGUGAGUGAAGAAGGUUUUCGGAUCGUAAAACUCUGUCUUUUGGGGCGAACGUGAGUAUGGUGAACAAUCAUAGUCAGUGACGGUACCAAAGGAGGAAGCCACGGCUAACUACGUGCCAGCAGCCGCGGUAAUACGUAGGUGGCAAGCGUUGUCCGGAAUUAUUGGGCGUAAAGAGCGCGUAGGCGGGAUAGUCAGUCUGUUGUAAAAGUGCGGGGCUCAACCCCGUGAUGGCAAUGGAAACAGCUAUUCUUGAGUGCAGGAGAGGAAAGUGGAAUUCCCAGUGUAGCGGUGAAAUGCGUAGAUAUUGGGAGGAACACCAGUGGCGAAGGCGACUUUCUGGACUGUGUCUGACGCUGAGGCGCGAAAGCCAGGGGAGCGAACGGGAUUAGAUACCCCGGUAGUCCUGGCCGUAAACGAUGGGUACUAGGUGUGGGGGGUAUCGACCCCUUCCGUGCCGGAGUUAACGCAAUAAGUACCCCGCCUGGGGAGUACGGUCGCAAGACUG
rnacentral:rRNA from 1 species